UACGUAGGGGGCAAGCGUUGUCCGGAUUUAUUGGGCGUAAAGAGCUCGUAGGCGGUUUGUCACGUCUGCUGUGAAAUCCCGAGGCUCAACCUCGGGCCUGCAGUGGGUACGGGCAGACUGGAGUGCGGUAGGGGAGAAUGGAAUUCCUGGUGUAGCGGUGGAAUGCGCAGAUAUCAGGAGGAACACCGAUGGCGAAGGCAGUUCUCUGGGCAUUAACUGACGCUGAGGAGCGAAAGCAUGGGGAGCGAACAGG
rnacentral:rRNA from 1 species